rnacentral:rRNA from 1 species
UACAGAGGGGGCUAGCGUUGUUUCGGAAUUACUGGGCGUAAAGGGCGCGUAGGUGGCCUGUUAAGUCGAACGUGAAAUCCCCGGGCUCAACCCGGGAACUGCGUCCGAGACUGGCAGGCUCGAAUCCGGGAGAGGGAUGUGGAAUUCCAGGUGUAGCGGUGAAAUGCGUAGAUAUCUGGAGGAACACCGGUGGCGAAGGCGGCUCACUGGCCCGGUACUGACGCUGAGGUGCGAAAGCGUGGGGAGCAAACAGG